rnacentral:rRNA from 2 species
UGGUCCCACCUGACCCCAUGCCGAACUCAGCAGUGAAACGCCGUAGCGCCGAUGGUAGUGUGGGGUCUCCCCAUGUGAGAGUAGGACACUGCCA